CGCCGACGUCCCUCAGGGCGCCGUGGAGGCGGGGCCUAGCAACCUGCGCGGGGGCGGGGAAGGAGGCGGUGCCACACCUGGGGUGAAGCCAUUCGAUGUCUCGCCGUAGACCGUGCCGUCGGCCCCUGGUGGCACCUGAGAGCUUCCAGGCUGGUGAUCGAGCGUGGUGGCGCGUGUCGGGCGGUGCGCUCCAGUCCCCAGUCGCGGCCUCUCUCCAGGAAGGCCUCGACGGAGCCGUAGCGGAGCAGCGCGCCGGGAGCAGCCGCGCCCCGGAGAGCUGUACCGGGCGUGCAGGAGGAUGGCCCUGUCCCCAGCCCCGGUCACAGCUGGCCCUGCGCCUGUCCUGCACGGACGUCCGUCUGUCUAUACAGAUCUGGUUAAACUGGGGAGACCGCGCCCAGUGGUCAGUGCUGCAGCCUUCUUUUCAAGCAGAAGUAGCCGCUGCAGACACGCUAGACUUAACAGGGCCCUAAACCGCUAGGGGAGAAGAAAAAGUACUUGAAAUACAGCUCUGGGGACGGUAAACGCGAGCAACAGCGAAGGACCCUAACCUGAGAGACAGGCACUGGGGGCCCAGGGGGGCCAGGGGAGACCUCGGUCUCACAGCGGAAGAGAUGGGGCCAGGAGGCUGGGUAGAAUCCUUAUCCAGAAUUGACAGGAGGUAGAUAUAGGAGAACAUUUUAAAUUAUUGUCUUAACUGUUGUAUAGUGUGCAAGAAACAAGACUAAGAGUCAUAGAACUCAAAAAACAACACAACAUAAA